CAUAUUGCGAAAAUAUCACUGUUAAUGCGGAUUAUUGCAAGACGAUCGUUUCUAACUGCGUAGAGAAAGCGAAUCUAUUAGACUCAACAUCUAACGUCCAAAAAAGCCUAGCUGUAGUAAAAUGUAACUUAGACAGCGGUUUAGUGGAUUUGAUUCCAAAACCAGAAGGAGAAAACGUAUAAAGAAAUAUUUGUCAAAAGUAUCAGUGCAACUAUAUUGAUCAUUUUUAUUUUAUCGCAAUAUUCUAUAUGUAUAAAAUAAUUAUCUAUUUCCUAUGUAAUUCUAUAUAGUUAUCAGUGUUAAAUUAGAACCAAUGUAUUGUUCUAACAAUAAAAUAUUGUGCAUAUAA